rnacentral:rRNA from 1 species
GUGGGGAAUAUUGGACAAUGGGCGAAAGCCUGAUCCAGCAAUACCGCGUGUGUGAAGAAGGCCUGAGGGUUGUAAAGCACUUUCAAUGGGAAGGAAUACCUACCGGUUAAUACCCGGUAGACUGACAUUACCCAUACAAGAAGCACCGGCUAACUCCGUGCCAGCAGCCGCGGUAAUACGGAGGGUGCAAGCGUUAAUCGGAAUUACUGGGCGUAAAGCGUGCGUAGGCGGUUGUUUAAGUCAGAUGUGAAAGCCCCGGGCUUAACCUGGGAACUGCAUUUGAUACUGGACGACUAGAGUUUAGUAGAGGGGAGUGGAAUUUCAGGUGUAGCGGUGAAAUGCGUAGAGAUCUGAAGGAACACCAGUGGCGAAGGCGGCUCCCUGGACUAAAACUGACGCUGAGGUACGAAAGCGUGGGUAGCAAACAGGAUUAGAUACCCGAGUAGUCC